ensembl:lncRNA MIR194-2HG MIR194-2 host gene
ACUUCCUCCUUGUGCCCCGAAGGCCAGCCCGGCACUCAGGCCAGGGCACUUGGACACCACGCUGCAGGAGGCUGGUCUCGCCCAGGCCUCUGUGGGAAGGGCCGCCAGGCUGAGUGGAGGGCCAGCCACCAGCUACGGUGUCUUCCUUCGCAGAAGCUUUGGAGUCUCCCAAAAUGCCUGCUGGGUCUCUGCAGGACUGGCACCUGUCACCGGAACCUGUCUGGGAGGGACGAGAACACGCUUUGCAAGAGGAAGCUCUGCCUCACAGAGCCCUGGGCUCACUCAGGGACCCUGGCCAGCAGCUGCUUCCUCUCCCCACAGCGGAGAGAGACCCAAGGGUCCCAGGGCGGAUGCUUCCCACCAGGCCAGCCCAGCGUGCAGGGUGGCCUCGUAAGUCCUGAUUGACAUAUGGACAGUGGUUCAGAGAGGUUACGCUACUUGCUCAAGGUCACCCAGCUCCCAGGCCCCUGCUGUCUUCCAGGCCACUGAGGUCCUAAGCGUCCUUCCAGGCGAGCCACUGCUCACAGCCUGUUCCUCAUGUUCUGCGGCAGGCAGCUCUGCUCACACUGUCCUGGCUGCUCUGAAUCCCUGGGCCCCGAUUGGCCCCUGCCGUGGCCCAGCUCAGCAACCCCUCCCUGCAGACCAUCCCAUGACUCUGCAGGCGCUGCUCCCCUCUCUGCCCACACCCCGGCUUCGUGGGCCUCUCCCGCCACCCUUAUCUCAUUCCCUACAGAGUUAAGGAGCCCUGUGUGCUUAUCUAAUCCUGUGCUAGUUUCAGACUCCUUGAGGGCAAGGUCCAUGACUUACUCAUCCUCCCUGGCUGCUUCCCCCACCCACCAGCAUAGUAGGUGUUCAGGAUACAUGGGCUGGAUGGUAGGGCCCUGGACUCUAACCCUCUUGGGGCUGUCAGGCCUCAGACUCAGAGCACUGGCAUAGGGUGAAAGGGGAGCAGACAGCAGCCACCCUGCCCUGGGGGUCCUCCUGCAUCUGCCUCUGCAGAGCACUGCGAUCCCACAAAGGCCUGCGAGGGCUAUUGGAGACCUGUUCCAAUGCAUGAGCAAGGCGGAUCCAGCACCCUCCCCCAGCUCCUUGAGCCCACUGACCUGUGUCCUUUACCCAGCAGGCCCUGGGCCCAUGCACAUUUCCCUGGCCUGGGUCUCACCUCCAACCCCUCUCAGAACUCCUCAAGACCUGCCCAAGGGUCACUCCCUCGCGGACACCUGCCUGGCCCCCCGCCCCGCCCCCCAUUACCCCACUCACUGGCUCCCUGGAUGCUCUGUGGCUGGGAUGUUAGCGCCCCCAUCAUGCCCCAUCACCCACACCGGGCUAUUUCCCCCACCAGCCUGAAAGCCCCCAGGAGUGGCGGCCACUGACUUUUUUCCUGUAGCCUCAGACUCAAAGGAGGCACUUAAUAAAUGCACACAGAAGGACUGA